GCACGGGUAGCUCAACGGUAGAGCAGUUGCUUUAUAAGCGAUUGGUUGGAGGUUCGAAUCCUCCCCCGUGUACCA
rnacentral:tRNA from 1 species